UGGGAUGUAGCUCAGUGGUAGAGCACUUGGCUAGCAUGCAAAAGGUCCUGGGUUCCAUUCCCAUCACAGCAA
rnacentral:tRNA from 1 species